rnacentral:rRNA from 1 species
AUGGUGGCUCCGCGCCCUCAAGAGCCCCUGGUGCUUUACCUCGCCGCCACUCCCUACUCCGCCAGCGCAGCCUUGGUGGCAGUCAGAGAGGAGCGCCGAAUCAAAACCGCGGCAGCAGCCCGGGACAAGGCAGAACAGGGACAAGGAAGGCCCAUAGAAACUGCCACCGUGGCUGAGGAGGAUCAGCCGCCGCAGAGGGGCGCACCGGAGGCGGAAGAGGCCCCACUCCCAGAUGGCCAGUCUCAGGAGGCCUCAUUGCCUCAAGAGGCGCCAUGGUCUCCGAAGGGAGCCACCAGCACUGACGCACUCCACCUCGUUGAGCACCCAGUGUACUUCGUCAGCACGGUGUUGCGGGAUGCAAGGGCACGGUACCCCAUGCCUCAGAAAAUCCUCCUUGCGCUACUGGUGGCCUCGCGCAAGCUGCGGCACUAUUUUCAAGGUCACCCCAUCAAGGUCGCCUCGUCAUACCCCCUGGAGAGAGUGCUCAGGAGCCCUAAUUCAGCUGGGAGGGUCGCUGAGUGGAACAUAGAACUGCAAGCGUUUCAGCUCGAAUUCAGCACGACCAAAGUCAUCAAGGGAGCAGCGUUGGCGAAUUUUGUGGCAGAAUGGACGGAGGCGCCAGUCCUCAAGGCCGACGAGGAUCGGUCCCUGUCCCCGGGAAGCGAGGCGCCAGAAGGCUGGGUCAUGUACUUCGAUGGGGCGUUCUCCAGGCAUGGCGCAGGGGCUAGGGCGGUGCUUAUAUCGCCCACUCAGGACAAGCUCUAUUACGCCGUGCAGCUCUGUUUCCAGCAAGGUGAAAAGGUCUCCAACAACAUAGCAGAGUAUGAAGGUUUAAUAGCGGGCUUGAAGGCCGCGGCUGCCCUGGGGGUGAAACGCCUCACCGUCAAGGGCGAUUCGUAG